AGUAACGCGUGAGGAACCUGCCUUUCAGAGGGGGACAACAGCUGGAAACGGCUGCUAAUACCGCAUGACACAUAUUUAUCGCAUGGUAGAUAUGUCAAAGAUUUAUCGCUGAGAGAUGGCCUCGCGUCUGAUUAGCUAGUUGGUAGGGUAACGGCCUACCAAGGCAACGAUCAGUAGCCGGCCUGAGAGGGUGAACGGCCACAUUGGGACUGAGACACGGCCCAAACUCCUACGGAAGGCAGCAG
rnacentral:rRNA from 1 species